rnacentral:lncRNA from 1 species
CUCCAACAAACUCCUCAUCACUAUAUGUUUCCUCUUCGAUACUUGAAUCAGGAGCAACGGCCUGUGCUAAGGCCCGUCUAAGAUGUGCAAUCUGAUGUGACAUAGUAGCAUGUCUCAAAAAUUGUAGAAAUGGCCUAAUCGUGCUUUUUCAACCAAAAACACAUUGUCUGAAAAUCUGAUCGUGCUUUGUCAACCAACAACACAUUGUCAGAAAAUCAAUUGACUAGUGUUAUAUGAAUUUAUAUGACUAGUAUAUAUAUUAAAGUUGACUAAAUAAUAAUUAAAUCUAAUAUACCUUAAACUCUUGAAACAUGGCUUGUUUAGAGACUAUUGGAAUAUCCCACCACUCUUGCCAAGGAUAUGUAAAAAGUCUCAUAACGCUCGUCCUUACAGCCUCAUUAACUUCUUUUGACGCGGGAUACCAC